UGUCAGGCCACGUGUCCAUGAAAUACCUCUCCCGCCAGGAGAGGGAGAAGGUCAACCAGCUUCGACAAAGGGACCUCGACCUGGUGUUUGAUAAGAUCACCCAACUCAAGAACCAGCUGGGGAGGAAAGAGGAGCUGUUGAGAGGAUAUGAAAAGGACGUUGAACAGCUCAGGCGGAGCAAAGUGUCCGUUGAGAUGUACCAGUCGCAGGUGGCAAAGCUGGAGGAUGAUAUCUACAAAGAGGCUGAAGAGAAGGCCCUGCUGAAGGAGGCCCUGGAGCGCAUGGAGCACCAGCUGUGCCAGGAGAAGAGGAUCAACAGGGCCAUCCGGCAGCAGAAGAUGGGAGCUUCCAGCCCCUGCCUCGCAGGCGGAUGGUGAGGAUGAAAGAAUGCAGGCAUCCCUCGCUAUCUGCUGUCCACUCUCGCUGUCGUCAUACCUCAGGAGCCAAGUGCUUUCGGAUGGUUGGAACCAGAAAAGCCUCCCUAAAGAUGGACCAAGAAAGAGAGAUGCUGAGGAAAGAGACCUCCAGCAAGUCCAGCCAGAGCCUUUUGCAUUCUAAGCCCAGUGGAAAGUACUAGAGAAACCUCGUCCCACCAGGCCUCAUGUGAUCCUCUGUGAGUUCAUGUGACUCUUCUGUGUCAUCUGUGUCAAAAUACUGAGUUGCUUUUGUAGGUCUUUAAAGAUUGUUACCCUA
rnacentral:sRNA from 1 species